GAGAACUUCAGCUGAGAGGAACGCUUCGUUAGAUCCAGCUGUAAGGCAUUUCCUUACUCAGUGAUUGUGGGGAAGGGCCCAGCCCACCGUGGUUGGGGCCACCCCUGGCCUGUUGGUCCUGGGUUCUAUAAGAAAGCAGGCUUUGUAAGCCACGAGGAGCAAGCCAGUAAGCAGCUCUUCUCCAUGGUCUCUGUAUCAGCUCCUGCUCCAGGUUUCUACCCUGUUUGAGUUCCUGUCCUUAUGUCUUCAACGACGAACAGACACAUUGAAGUGGGUGGUGGAGAGCAGCCGAAGCAAGAGAGGCCAGGAGAGGCUGGUGGUGAAAGUGCAGCCCAGUUGCAGCAGAGAUCCCAGCAUUUUGGAGUUGCCAGCGCCAUGGGAUGACCAUCAAGAACAGCAGCGGCAGUGGAAUGAAGCCGGCCGGAGCCCGGAAGACGAGCUGUGUGUGCUGCAGAGGUUGGAGCCAGAGAAGUGACCCAAGCUCCUUGGAGGAACCUCCCCCCCCAAAAAAAAAAUCGAGAUCACAUCUGAAAGUGACACAAGCUAGGGUCAUCAGAGAGGAGGGAGCCUCAAUUAAGAAAAUGUCUCCACAAGAUCAGGCUGCAGGCAAGCCUGAGGGCAGGUUUCCUUAGUGAUUGAUGAGGGAGGGCCCAGCCCACUGUGGGUGGAGCCAUCCCUGGUCCUGGGUUCUAAAAGAAAGCAGGCUGAGCAAGCCAUGGGAAGCAAGCCAGUAAGCAGCUCUCCUUCAUGGCCUCUGCAUCAGUCCCUACCUCCAGGUUCCUGCCCUGUUUGAGUUCCUGUCCUGACUUCCUUCAGUGAUGAACAGUUGUAGGGAGACACCGUAACCACACCUUCUAAGGGCUGGCUACAGGUGUGCUUGACCACGUCUGUCAGGGCAUGGUCAAGGGGUGUUCAGGAUGACCCAUGGGGGGUUCUUAAGGUGCUGCAGACACGUGGGAGCCCCUUCUCUCUGGCCUCUCUAGCUUGCUGCCUCUGGGCAUGCUCUGGCUUGCGCUUGACUGGUAUUUUCUGAAUAAAGGUCUUUUGGAUCUAUAAGCCAUCUCCAUCGGGUACAAACAGUGUUGUGGAAGUGUG
rnacentral:lncRNA from 1 species